rnacentral:rRNA from 1 species
GACGAACGCUGGCGGCGUGCUUAACACAUGCAAGUCGAACGGAAAGGCCCUGCUUUUGUGGGGUGCUCGAGUGGCGAACGGGUGAGUAACACGUGAGUAACCUGCCCUUGACUUUGGGAUAACUUCAGGAAACUGGGGCUAAUACCGGAUAGGAGCUCCUGCUGCAUGGUGGGGGUUGGAAAGUUUCGGCGGUUGGGGAUGGACUCGCGGCUUAUCAGCUUGUUGGUGGGGUAGUGGCUUACCAAGGCUUUGACGGGUAGCCGGCCUGAGAGGGUGGCCGGCCACAUUGGGACUGAGAUACGGCCCAGACUCCUACGGGAGGCAGCAGUGGGGAAUAUUGCACAAUGGGCGGAAGCCUGAUGCAGCAACGCCGCGCGCGGGAUGACGGCCUUCGGGUUGUAAACCGCUUUCGCCUGUGACGAAGCGUGAGUGACGGUAAUGGGUAAAGAAGCACCGGCUAACUACGCG